GAUGAACGCUGGCGGCGUGCCUAAUACAUGCCAGUCGAGCGAACAGAUAAGGAGCUUGCUCCUUUGGCGUUAGCGGCGGACGGGUGAGUAACACGUGGAUAACCUACCUAUAAGACUGGGAUAACUUCGGGAAACCGGAGCUAAUACCGGAUAACAUAUUGAACCGCAUGGUUCAAUAGUGAAAGGCGGCUUUGCUGUCACUUAUAGAUGGAUCCGCGCCGUAUUAGCUAGUUGGUAAGGUAACGGCUUACCAAGGCAACGAUACGUAGCCGACCUGAGAGGGUGAUCGGCCACACUGGAACUGAGACACGGUCCAGACUCCUACGGGAGGCAGCAGUAGGGAAUCUUCCGCAAUGGGCGAAAGCCUGACGGAGCAACGCCGCGUGAGUGAUGAAGGUCUUCGGAUCGUAAAACUCUGUUAUCAGGGAAGAACAAAUGUGUAAGUAACUGUGCACAUCUUGACGGUACCUGAUCAGAAAGCCACGGCUAACUACGUG
rnacentral:rRNA from 1 species